CUACGGGGGGCUGCAGUGGGGAAUAUUGGACAAUGGGGGAAACCCUGAUCCAGCAAUGCCGCGUGUGUGAAGAAGGCCUGCGGGUUGUAAAGCACUUUCGGUUGGGAGGACUGCUUCUAGCACUAAUAUUGUUGGAAGUUGACGUUACCUUCAGAAGAAGCACCGGCUAGCUCCGUGCCAGCAGCCGCGGUAAUACGGAGGGUGCAAGCGUUAAUCGGAAUUACUGGGCGUAAAGCGCGCGUAGGCGGCUAGAUCAGUCGGGUGUGAAAGCCCCGGGCUUAACCUGGGAACUGCAUCCGAUACUGUCUAGCUUGAGUACAGGAGAGGAGAGUGGAAUGCCACAUGUAGCGGUGAAAUGCGUAGAUAUGUGGAGGAACACCAAUGGCGAAGGCAGCUCUCUGGCCUGAUACUGACGCUGAUGUGCGAAAGCGUGGGGAGCAAACAGGAUUAGAUACCCGUGUAGUC
rnacentral:rRNA from 1 species